rnacentral:rRNA from 1 species
CCUACGGGAGGCUGCAGUGGGGAAUAUUGCACAAUGGGGGAAACCCUGAUGCAGCGACGCCGCGUGAGUGAAGAAGGAUUUCGGUACGUAAAGCUCGAGCAGCAGGGAAGAAAAGGACGGUACCUGACUAAGAAGCCCCGGCUAACGACGUGCCAGCAGCCGCGGUAAUACGUAGGGGGCAAGCGUUAUCCGGAUUUACUGGGUGUAAAGGGAGCGUCGACGGCAGCGCAAGUCUGGAGUGAAAUCCCAUGGCUUAACCAUGGAACUGCUUUGGAAACGGUGCAGCGAGAGUGCAGGAGAGGUAAGCCGCAUUCCUUGUGUAGCGGUGACAUGCUUAGAUAUUAGG